GCGCCCGUAGCUCAAUUGGNNUCUGACUACGGAUCAGAAGGUUAGGAGUUCGAGUCUCUUCGGGCGCGCCA
rnacentral:tRNA from 1 species